AAGGGUGGUACGUUUUGGCAAACGUGGGAAAUUGAGUCCGCGAUUCAUAGGGCCAUGUGAGAUUUUAGAGAGAAUUGGCCCAGUUGCUUAUCGUUUAGCACUACCACCAGAGCUAUCUCAGAUUCAUGAUGUCUUCCAUGUAUCCAUGUUAAGGAGAUACAGAAGUGAUCCUUCCCACAUUCUCCAGAAAGAGCCUAUCGAGUUGAGGAAAGAUUUAACAUAUGAAGAAGAGCGAGUAGAGAUCAUUACCAGAGAAGAGAAGGUUCUAAGGAGCAAGAUAAUACCCCUGGUUAAAGUUCGAUGGAGUAACCAUUCUGCCAAAGAAGCUACUUGGGAAAAAGGAGAGAAUAUGCGAAUUCAAUUUCCACAUUUAUUUCCUUCACCAGGUAUGUAAAUUUCGAGGAUGAAAUUUCUAUUAGGAGGAGAGAAUUAUCAGGCCUUGGCCCAGCCCACAAAAAAAAAAAAAAAUAGCCCGUAAAAUAAAUAAAGAAAUAAAUAAAUAAAAAAUUAAAACAUUAAAGGCUCUGGUUUCUUCCAGAGCCUUCAUUUGCGUGAAGUAGAGAAAAAAACAAAAAAGAAAGAAAAGCAGCAGAAGCAGGGGCAAGCAGAGCAUUGCUCUGUUAUUUCAAAAAAAAAACAAAAUCAUUCUCUUUAAUCCAAAUCUCUUUCCUCUCAACCCGAUCAACCCACAAACUUCUAAAAUCCUUCAGCUAGAUCCUAAUAUCCUGCUCAGAAAUUCAAUAUUUUCUUCCAGAGGUUCCAAAAUUGGGUAGGUGAGUUUUAUUCCCUUUAUUCGAUUUAUUGCGAUAUAAUUUAUUUUUUCUACUUUUUAAGAAUUAUUUGGUGAAUUGAGAAUCAAAAGGGAUGUAUUUAGGUUAGACCCAAGUAAUGAGAUUUAAUAUUUCUUUUGGGGAUUAAUGAUUUUUUUAUAGGUUAUUAAGUAUUUUUGUUGAGGUUGUUCAUUUUUGGGAGGUCUCGCUAUGGCGAAAUACUGCCGAAAUUUUCUUAAAAAUAUAUACAUAUAAAUAUAUUUAAAAUUUCGUAUUUUACGUUUUAUAUUAUUAUCCUAGUAUAUUUAUUUAUUAUUUGAUAUAUUAUUUUCUUUUUAAUUCUAGGAGAGGAUCCAGCUUUUGGGAUAAGUAAUAGGAGUGCUCCUGCGACCUAGGUUAUUCUAUCCUCAGUACUGGUGAGUGUAUAAAUAUAUAACAUUGAUAUUUUUCUUAAAUAUAUAUAUACUCAUAUAUGUUAUUUUGUUUAUUUAAGUUGGGAAAGGAUAACGAUAAUUUAUAUUUCUUGAAUGAAUGAAAAUUGAAUUUAAAGCACAGCUGAAUAAAUAGCCGAUUACACUCUGUAUAUGCACCGAAUAGAUAACACAUUGAUGACUGGUGAUUUAUUUUCAGUAUAAUAUAUAUUUAUACUGUCUUUGGGACAGUGCUUGAUAUACAGAUAGCCUUUGGGGCGUAUGUCAGGUGGUCACCCUUUGGGGGUAGCUCUGCACAUGUGUAUGACCAGUAUUUUGUUUGCUCUUGGGCCAAAAUUGUCAUCAUAGAGCCUAAGAUGCCAGCAUUGCUCUCAGGCUGUCGUUAUUUUAUCACACCUGAGAUGCCAGCAUUAUCUAUAGGGCACAUAUUAUGAGUGUAUGCAGAUUCUAUUUUUCACAGUUCAUUUUAUAUUAAUUGAAUUAAAUUGUAUUUAUUCAGCUGACUUAUUUUAGCUAAAUAUUUAAUACUAUUAAGUACUUAAACUUUAUCUUUUCCCCUUUGUUAUUUAUUUAUCCGCUCACUGAGUAUUUUGUACUCACCCUUAUACUUUUAAUAUUACAGCUCCUUUUUGGUGAUCCGCUCAGCAAUCCUCAUCUUCUUGUUUGUCCUUCUUCCUCAUCGUCCACUCAGAGUCUAGAGGAGGUCGGACCAAUCCUAGGUCUUUUGUCAUAUCUUUUGUAUAAUUUUAAAAGAUCAUGUAUAGAUUGUACAUUCCAUGAGGAACGUAUUUUGUUUAAUGUAAAUAUAUUAUGAAUUGACUAGAACAACCAUUAGUUUUCUCUUAUAUGUUUAAUAUUUUAAAAACUUAUAGCAGGUUAUAUGUAUUUAAAUGUAUAAAAUCAGGGGAAGUUCUGUCAGUUUUUCGAGUCAUAUCCGCCUCUACAGAUUAGAGAAUAGGUGUGACAAUUUUUAGUAUCAGAGCUUAGGUUAUAGAUUCUGUAGACUUUUCUUGAGUUAGUAUUCUUAAUUGUAUUCUGAUAAUUCUUCUCGUAUUGUCGUUUGUAGGACAAUGCCGCCUAGAGUAGGCAAUAGAAAUCGGGGCCGUGGUGUUCGUACAGCUAGAUUAGCCGAUAUUGGUCGACCUCAUAGGGAUCCUACAGUUACACCUCCACCUCUAGAUAGGAUGGCAGAUCAUGUUUUGCUUGAGAGCAGAGAAGGGCAUGGAGAUUCUGCUUCUCAUGGUGUUGAAUCAAGAACAUAUCCGGCUGCACCUUCAUUUCCUUCAGCACCUGCAGUUGCACCUCCUGUCGCAUCUGCAGCUCCACCUCUUGUUCCACCUGUAGCACCAGUUAAUCCUUUUCAGAUAAAUGCCGACCUGGGUGCUUUUGUGGCACAAGUAGUUACAGCAGCUGUUACAGCCAAACCUAGAGAUUCGUGGGAGAUAGUGGAUCGUGCUAGACAUUUGGGAGCUUAUGAUUUUGAGGGUUCUUCUGAUGCUGACAUUGCAGAUAAAUGGUUAAAGAAAGUGCUAAAAGUGUUUGAAUUAAUGAAGUUGACUGAUGCAGAUAAAGUAGAUAAUGUACAUGGAUUGCUUCAGGGUAAAGCUGAUGGUUGGUUUGAUGGCAUUCAUCGCAGACAUAGAGUCAGACUGACUUGGGAUCAAUUUAUAUAUGAAUUUUGCCAGGAGUAUUUGUCAGAAAGUUACAGGAAGGGGAAACAGGAUGCCUUUCUCAGGUUGUUUCAAGGAAGCCUCUCAAUAAGAGAGUAUGUUGACAAGUUUGAAGAUCUUUAUUGCUUUGUGUCAGAUAUACUACCUUUUGAGGAAGCUAAAUGUGAUAGAUUUAGACAGGGUCUACAUGUCAAUAUCAGAUCAUCUAUGACCUGGUUCAGAGGUAAUAAUUUCAGAGAGUUGGUGGAAGCAGCUUUGAAUGUUGAGAAAGUUAAGCAAGAAGAGAAAGAGUAUGAGCAGAGGAUGAGUAGAAAACAUAUGCAGGAUUCACAGGGGUUCAGAGAAAGACCAGCUAAGAGAUGGAGCAGUUCAUUUCAGUCCCAAGCUGGAUACAGAGGUAGUGGUAGAGGUUCUUUUGUUAACACAGAGCAGCAGGUUGCUCGACCACAAUCUAGUCAGAGUUCAGUAGCAUAGCCAGUGGGUAGUUCCUUUGGGGCACCGACACAUGGGCAAGGAUAUAAUUCUGGGUUUGAGCAAAGGAAGAGACAUUUUCCUCAAUGUGCCACCUGUGGUAAAUAUCAUGCUGGGGAGUGUAGAAAAUUCGAUAGGGGUUGUUUUGAAUGUGGCUCUUCGGGGCAUUUUAAGAAAGAUUGUCCAUUGCUGAUAGCCAGAGACAGUGGUUCUCAGCAAGGGUCAGUGGCACCUCAGAAUCUAAAGUAUGGUAUGACACUAUCACAGGGAGUACCUACGGCACAAGUUGGACCAAGCACAAGCAGAGCCAGUGGAGCUACUUCAUCUUCUCAGCCUAGACCAAUGAUGCAACCUGGCAGACCUCGCACUCAAGCCAGAGUUUUUGCUAUGACACAGCAGGAGGCACGAGCAUCUUCAGAGGUGGUGACUGGUAUGUUAACUAUUUUUAAUAAAGAUGCGUACAUUCUUACAGAUCCUGGUUCUACUCACUCUUUCAUAUCUCAAUCAUUCUCUAAGCAUGCUGAUAGAGAAUUAAAACCCUUAGACUGCGGAUUAGCUGUGAGUACUCCAGUUGGGGAUUCUGUUGUAUGUGAAUAUGUGUAUAGGGAUUGUGUUGUUAAGUUGGGAAAUCAUGAGCUGUUAGUGGAUCUAAUUCCUUUGUGUCUACAAGAUCUGGAUGUCAUCCUAGGUAUGGACUGGUUAUCCCGUCAUCAUGCCACAAUAGAUUGCUUUGAGAAAUCAGUGGUAUUUAAUACUCCAAAAGGGUCCAAGUUCACUUUCUUUGGGGAGAGGCGUUUAUUUCCUUCUUAUGUGAUUUCCGCCAUGACCACUAGGAAGAUGCUUCGGAAGGGUUGUCAAGCAUAUUUAGCCUAUGUGGUGGACAGUAACCUAGAAGGACCUAAAUUGGAGGAUAUACAAAUAGUAAACGAGUUUCCUGAUGUAUUUCCUGAAGAACUUCCUGGGUUGCCUCCAGAUAGAGAGAUUGAAUUCUCUAUAGAUUUAAAUCCAGGUACAGCUCCUAUUUCUAUGGCACCAUACAGAAUGGCCCCAGCAGAAUUGAAGGAGUUAAAAGCACAAUUGCAGGAGCUACUUGAUAAAGGUUUCAUAAGACCCAAUGUUUCACCUUGGGGAGCCCCUGUGCUAUUUGUGAAGAAGAAGGAUGGUUCCUUAAGAUUGUGUAUUGACUACAGACAAUUGAAUCGAGUUACUGUGCGAAAUAAGUAUCCUUUACCCCGCAUUGAUGAUCUUUUUGAUCAACUCCAAGGUGCUAAAGUAUUCUCUAAGAUUGAUUUGCGGUCUGGGUAUCAUCAAUUGAAGAUCAAGGAGUCUGAAAUACCUAAGACAGCCUUCAGAACUCGUUACGGGCAUUAUGAGUUCCUUGUUAUGCCUUUUGAGUUAACUAAUGCACCCACUGCUUUUAUGGAUCUCAUGAAUAGGGUGUUUAAGCCCUACUUGGACAGUUUUGUUAUUGUGUUUAUUGAUGACAUCUUAGUAUAUUCUCGUAGCAAGGAAGAGCAUGAGAUGCAUUUACGGAUAGUACUGCAAAUUUUGAGGAAUAAGCAACUAUAUGCUAAAUUGAGCAAAUAUGAGUUCUGGCUUGAUCGGGUGGUUUUCUUGGGACAUGUUAUCUCAGCAGAUGGAGUUUUGGUUGAUCCUAAGAAGAUUGAAACAGUAGUCAAUUGGGACCCUCCAACUAAUGUUACAGAGGUUAGAAGUUUUCUGGGCUUAGCAGGGUAUUAUUGUCGCUUUGUUCAGGAUUUCUCCAUCAUUGCAGCACCAUUGACUAAACUCCUUCGAAAGAAUGCAAAGUUUGAAUGGACAGAUGAAUGUCAAGAGAGUUUCGAGAAGCUUAAAACAUGUCUCACAUCAGCCCCAGUUCUUACCCUACCCUCAGGUACAGAUGGAUUUGUGGUGUAUAGUGAUGCUUCUCAAAAGGGUUUAGGCUGUGUACUCAUGCAACAUGGGAAGGUGAUAGCUUAUGCUUCUAGACAGCUUAGACCACAUGAAUUAAAUUAUCCCACCCAUGAUUUGGAAUUGGCUGCAGUUGUAUUUGCAUUAAAGACAUGGAGGCAUUAUCUUUAUGGCGUGACUUGCCAGAUUUUUACAGACCACAAGAGUUUGAAGUAUCUUCUCACACAGAAGGAGUUGAAUUUAAGGCAGAGACGGUGGAUUGAGUUACUUAAGCACUACGACUGUACUAUUGAAUAUCAUCCAGGUAAAGCUAAUGUGGUAGCUGAUGCCCUUAGUCGCAAGUCCUUUAGUAAUUUGGCUUAUCUCAAAAAAGUUCGACUUCCUUUGUUACUAGAGAUCAGAUCCUUAAGGGUAGAACUAGCAGUGGAUGAUGCAGGAGCAUUGUUAGCAACUUUCAAAGUUCGACCAGUGUUGAUAGAAAAAGUCAAGGAAGCCCAAAAUCAAGAUGAGCAGUUUAGUAAGAUCAGUAAUGAAGUAAGAGAUGGCACCCGUACCGACUUUUCUCUAAGGGAGUAUGGAACGUUAAUGUUUGGUGAUAGACUAUGUGUACCCAGAGUGGAAAGCUUGAAGAGAGAGAGUAUGGAGGAAGCCCAUUGUUCUGCUUACUCUAUGCAUCCAGGCAGUACAAAAAUGUAUAGAGAUCUUAAAGAAAACUAUUGGUGGCCAGGCAUGAAGAAAGAAAUAGCUGACUUUGUGUCCACAUGCUUAGUUUGCCAACAGAUUAAAGCAGAACAUCAACAUCCAACAGGAAAGCUGCAACCGCUCCCUAUUCUAGAAUGGAAGUGGGAACACAUUACUAUGGAUUUUGUUUCAGGGUUACCUCGUACUUCGCGUGGACAUAAUGCAGUAUGGGUGAUAGUUGAUAGAUUAACCAAGUCAGCACAGUUUUUGCCUGUCAGGAUGGAUUAUUCUUUAGACAAGUUAGCAGAGAUCUAUGUCAGUGAGAUUGUCAAACUUCAUGGUGCUCCAGUUUCUAUUGUUUCAGAUAGAGAUCCAAGAUUCACUUCUCAUUUUUGGCCUAGCUGCAAAAUGCUUUAGGAACUAAGUUGAAGUUUAGCACUUCUUUUCACCCUCAAACUGAUGGUCAAUCAGAAAGAACUAUUCAGACCUUAGAGGAUAUGCUGAGAGCUUGUGUGAUGGAGUUUAAAGGAAGUUGGGAUAGGCAUGUGCCUUUAAUGGAGUUCUCUUAUAACAAUAGUUAUCAUUCGAGUAUCAGCAUGGCUCCUUAUAAAGCUUUGUAUGGGAGGAGAUGUAGAACACCAUUGUGUUAAAAUGAGGUAGGGGAAAGACAAUUAGAAGGUCCAGAACUAGUACAAUACACCACAGAUAAAAUUCAGAUGAUCAGAAGUAGGUUAAAAGCAGCACAAGACAGACAGAAGAGUUAUGCAGAUCUGAAGAGAAGGGAUAUUGAAUAUAAUGUUGGCGACAAAGUAUUUCUGAAGAUCUCUCCUUGGAAAGGGGUGGUACGUUUUGGCAAACGUGGGAAAUUGAGUCCGCGAUUCAUAGGACCAUGUGAGAUUUUAGAGAGAAUUGGCCCAGUUGCUUAUCGUUUAGCACUACCACCAGAGCUAUCUCAGAUUCAUGAUGUCUUCCAUGUAUCCAUGUUAAGGAGAUACAGAAGUGAUCCUUCCCACAUUCUCCAGAAACAACCUAUCGAGUUGAGGGAAGAUUUAACAUAUGAAGAAGAGCCAAUAGAGAUCAUUACCAGAGAAGAGAAGGUUCUAAGGAGCAAGAUAAUACCCUUGGUUAAAGUUCGAUGGAGUAACCAUUCUGCCAAAGAAGCUACUUGGGAAAAAGAAGAGAAUAUGCGAAUUCAAUUUCCACAUUUAUUUCCUUCACCAGGUAUGUAAAUUUCGAGGACAAAAUUUCUAUUAGGAGGAGAGAAUUAUCAGGCCCUAGCCCAGCCUACAAAAAAAAAAUAAAGUAAAUAGCCCAUAAAAUAAAUAAAGAAAUAAAUAAAUAAAUAAUUAAAACAUUAAAGGCUCUGGUUUCUUCCAGAGCCUUCAUUUGUGUGAAGUAGAGAAAAAAACAAAAAAGAAAGAAAAGCAGCAGAAGCAGGGGCAAGCAGAGCAUUGCUCUGUUAUUUUUUUUUAAAAAAAAAACCUUUUCUUUAAUCCAAAUCUCCUUCCUCUCAACCCGAUCAACCCACAAACUUCAAAGAUCCUUCAGCUAGAUCCUGAUUUAAAUCUAUAUCCUGCUCAGAAAUUUAAUAUUUUCUUCCAGAGGUUCCAAAAUUGGGUAGGUGAGUUUUAUUCCCUU
rnacentral:lncRNA from 1 species